ACCCCUGGCGGGCGCCGGGCUCAGGAGCCGGGGUUCCGGCCGCGAUCGGCUGCAGCUCGGCGGGGAGACGGCGCGACCCGGCGGCGGGGCCACCCGCGAGUCCAGCGUCGCUGCAGCCCCCCGAUGCGGCCGCGAGAAGCAGCGUGGGGGCAGGCCAUCGAAGCCUUCAGAAGACCUGCGUGCUCAUGAUUAUGGAGGCCCUGCUGUCAUCUCUGUGACAGAGCGAUGCUGACCUCGGUUUCCUGGACCCAUUCCGACUCAGAGCAUUUUUAACUUUCCCACUUGGUCAUUCUUGUGAGGAGCCUUCACGUAAAUGGGUCCAGUCAUGCCUCCCAGUAAGAAGCCAGAAAGCUCAGGAAUCAGUGUCUCCAGUGGACUGAGUCAGUGUUACCGGGGCAGCAGUUUCUCCAAGGCCCUUCAGGAAGACGAUGACCUCGACUUUUCUUUGCCUGACAUCAAAUUAGAAGAGGGGGCCAUGGAAGAUGAAGAGCUGACCAACCUGAACUGGCUGCACGAGAGCAAGAACUUGCUGAAGAGCUUUGGAGAGUCUGUCCUCAGGAGUGUCAGCCCUGUCCAGGACCUGGACGAUGACACCCCCCCAUCCCCCGCCCACUCUGACGUGCCCUAUGAUGCCAGGCAGAACCCCAACUGCAAACCCCCUUACUCCUUUAGCUGCCUCAUAUUUAUGGCCAUUGAGGAUUCUCCAAGCAAGCGUCUGCCAGUCAAGGAUAUCUACAACUGGAUCUUGGGACAUUUUCCGUAUUUUGCAAAUGCACCUACUGGGUGGAAAAACUCAGUGAGACAUAAUUUGUCAUUGAAUAAGUGUUUUAAGAAAGUGGACAAAGAGAGGAGUCAGAGUAUUGGGAAAGGGUCAUUGUGGUGCAUAGACCCAGAGUAUAGACAAAAUCUAAUUCAGGCUUUGAAAAAGACACCUUAUCACCCACACCCACACGUGUCCAAUACAUCUCCCACCUCUCCUCAGGCAUAUCAAAGCACAUCAGGUCCACCCAUCUGGCCGGGCAGUACCUUCUUCAAGAGAAACGGAGCCCUUCUCCAAGAUCCUGACAUUGAUGCUGCCAGUGCCAUGAUGCUUUUGAAUACUCCCCCUGAGAUACAAGCAGGUUUUCCUCCAGGAGUGAUACAGAACGGGGCACGAGUUCUGAGCCGAGGCCUAUUUCCUGGUGUCCGGCCGCUGCCCAUCACGCCCAUCGGGAUGACGGCAGCUGUGAGAAAUGGCAUCAGCAGCUGCCGCAUGCGGACUGAGAGUGAGCCAUCAUGUGGCUCCCCGGUGGUCAGCGGAGACCCCAAGGAGGAUCACAACUAUAGCAGUGCCAAGUCCUCCAACGCCCGGAGCACCUCCCCCGCCAGCGACUCUGUGUCCUCUUCCUCCUCCUCGGCCGAUGACCACUACGAGUUUGCCACAAAGGGGAGCCAGGAGGGCAGCGAAGGCAGCGAGGGCAGCUUCCAGAGCCAUGAGAGCCACAGCGAGACGGAAUAGGACGACAGGAAACACAGCCAGAAGGAGCCCAAGGAUGCUCUGGGGGACAGUGGCUAUGAAUCCCAGCACAAGAAGCGCCAGCACUUCGCCAAGGCCAGGAAGGUCCCCAGUGACACCCUGCCCCUCAAAAAGAGACGCACUGAAAAGCCCCCCGAGAGUGAUGACGAGGAAAUGAAAGAAGCAGCCGGUCCACUCCUGCACUUAGCAGGGAUCCGGUCCUGUUUGAAUAACAUCACCAAUUGGACGGCAAAGGGGCAGAAAGAGCAAAAGGAAACCACAAAAAAUUAAAAACAAGUCACUGAUUUGUUUUGAACUUACGGCCAUUUGGUUUCAGCAUGUCAGGAGAUUUCUAAUGAUUUGUGGCAAUAUCAGCAAUGUUUUUCUUUUUGUUCCUUUUUGUUUUGUUUUGGUUUGGUUUUCUUUUCCUUUUGAUUUUAUUCUUUUUUAAAUUUGCCCCCCUCUCCUUUGUUUUGGACCCUUAAGAAUUUUAUUUUUAAAGGAGAUUGAAGCCAUAGAACUCAUAUUGACACUCAGCUGUUUUACAAAAGCUUUUGAUUAUCCGAAGACAUAACCGAAAAAGCCAAAAUUGCCAUUGCUUCCUCCAGCUUAGAAACAUGUGGCUGAAUCCACAGGGAUGUCAACGUGAAUGCCACAGGAAUACACAUUCAGCACCUAGAGGGCACGCGGUGCAAAGUCAUCAUCGCUCAGGCCCAACCCUUAGGUUUAAAAAGUCAGGAUGUCCUCCACCCAGGUGGGUUCACUGAGUGAAGGCACAUAAAGAUGGGCGGAAGGAAGAACCCCUCGGCCCCCUAGGAGCAGACCCGAGUUCGUGGCUCCAGGCAUCCAGUUGUGCCAGGAAAACCCCUGGCAUUGUCACAAGCGAGCACAGGGGCCGGCCACCAGUCCUCUGUGCUUCCUACCACUGAAGCCUGGUAUCAUCUUAGAAGGUGGGCGCUGGACUGUUUGUAUGCAUCAGGUGUCAGUGACUAAUGAGAAGAAAUGGGGUAAAUUUUUAGUGAUGUUGCUAAUCAUUGGAUUUUGUUCUAUAAAAUCAAGAAAAUGUUCUAAAAGCCAAAAAAAAAAAAAUUUUUUUUUUCCUAUUAAAUUGAAUUAGAUUUGCGAUACUCUAAAGUUUUCGUCCUUUUUGGAGAAGAAUUUUUACAUAGGAGGUAGCACUUAGGAGUUUGGCUUCAUUUAGGAAGCAGUAGAUAAAGCUCUGUUCUUUGUGUCUUUAAAAAAAAAGAUAAAGAAGGCUUACAUCAGAAGAGCUUUGGACAAUUGACUUAAAAAGUCUUAAAUUGUCCCCUUUGAGGCCAGAGCCUCCAUCUUCCAGUAAUUCACCAAAAGGAAGAACACAAAGGAAAGAGGAGAGGCACCCAAUACAUGUUCUCUAGGCCUUCUGGAAAACAUGGAGUUGUGCCUUUGGUCACAUAUAGCGAAUCUACAAGAAAGGUGAUAUUAUAGACAUCGAGGGAAUGGGUACUGUUCAAAAGGGCAUGCCACACAAAUGCUACCCUGGAAAAACUGGUAGAGUCUGCAGUGUCACUGCUAUACUGUUGGCAUUGUUUAAACCAGGGGUCCUCAAACUUUUAAACAGGGGGCCAGUUCACUGUCCCUCAGGUUGUUGGAGGGCCAGAUAUAGUUUAAAAAAAAAAACUAUGGGGCGGCACCUGUGGCUAAGUCGGGAAGGCGCUGGCCCCAUAUACCAAGGGUGGCAGGUUUAAACCCAGCCCCGCCAAACUGCAACCAAAAAAUAGCCGGGCGUUGUGGCCGGCACCUGUAGUCCCAGCUACUCGGGAGGCUGAGGCAAGAGAAUCGCUUAAGCCCAGGAGUUGGAGGUUGCUGUGAGCUGUGUGACGCCACGGCACUCCACCGAGGGCCAUAAAGUGAGACUCUGUCUCUACAAAAAAAAAAAAACAACAACAACAAAAAACUAUGAACAAAUUCCUAUGCACACUGCACAUACCUUAUUUUGAAGUAAAAAAACAAAACGGGAACAAAUAUAAUCACACUGCUGCGUGUGGACCAUGGGCCGUAGUUUGAGGACCCCUGGUUAAACAAACAAGUUAAACAAGUAAGGGCAAGAUUCUUGCCAAGAAGAUCAAUGUUCCUAUUGAGCAUAUUAAGUACUCUAAGAGCCGAGAUGGCUUCCUAAAAGGAAAAUGAUCAGAAAAAGAAGGAAGCCAAAGAGAAAAAUACCUGGGCUCAACCGAAGUGCCAGCCUGCUCCACCCAGAGGAGCACACUUUAUGAAAAUCAGUGGAAAGGAGUCUGAGCUGCUGGAACCCAUUCCCUGUGAAUUCAUGGCGUAAUAGGUGUACAGCCUAGCACACAGGAGAACCAGGAGAGCCAAUGGAGCAGGAGCACAGCAGUGCCGGAACCUAUUCCUCAUGAAUUCAUGGCAUCAUAGGCAGAGCAAGCUUUGUCACUUUCAAUAGAAAGGUGCCUCUCUAAGCUGCUGGAAUCCUUUCCCUAUGAGUUUGUGGCAUAAUAGGUAUUAAAAAUACAAGGCUACUGUCAAAAAAAAAAGUCUUAAACUAUUUAAAGAGAAGGAUCUGUGGGAAAAGAAGACUUAUUAUAUCUUAUUAUAUUAAGACUUAUUAUUAUAAGACUUAUAUCUUAUUAAGACUUAUUAUAUCUUAAGAAAAAUAACAAUGUUAAAAAAGGAAAAUACAAUGUUGAUAAAGCAUUACUGUUAGAAUUUUAUGAUUGAAAUGGAGCUUUUGUCCUGUUACCAUUAUACAUUCUUGUUUUAGCACAUUUUUGUUGGAGAAACAGCUGUGAUAGAGGAGAAAUAACUUUAGAAUUAAGUCAUUAGCUUUGGGGACUCUCAGCAAAUGAACCUUUCUAGCCUUUAAUUUCAACUUGUAUAAAGUGGGGCUAAUCAUACCUAGUUCAUACUGUUUUUGCCAGUGUUAAAUAAGAUACACGAAAAGGUGUAGAUAGGCAAGUGUAAGGUAUUAUUGUUUGAGACUGGGCAAAUACAUGGUGUGGGGUCUGCUUAAUGAGAGAAAUCAAGGUGGAAAGGAUAAGAUGCAUUAAUAAUGUUUCUGGGCUAGCACUUGAUGGGGGAACAGGAAGUAAUUGAAAUCAUUUUUGAAUUAUCCUCUAGAUCUGUUCUUAGAGUGUCGCCAAUCUUGAAAAACUCUUUUUAUGUUUGUGUCU